AUAAAAAAAAAGUAAAAAAAAAUAAAAAAGAAAAAGAAGAUAAAAAAAGAUAAAAAAAGAUAAUAUAUAUCAAAGCAGAUAAACUCUUCGAUACGACAACAACAAUGUAGUAUUUCUUUGAUAUUACGAUCAUGAAAGAGAUUUGUGACUGUGAAUGACAUAACGUUUAUAGUAUGGUGUGCGAUAUAUAAAGCCUGUUCAAUUCGAUGGAAGGUAUAUUAAUGAAAAAUCAUGUUAUUAAUGAGAGAUAAACAAUGGACAUCUUUGUUAGUCAAUUGUUAAAUUUUCUACCAUUUUUUGUUAAUACGAUCGUACGGGUACACAGCUUAUUAUAACGAUUAAUAAGUUGUGAGAUUAUUUAUGUAUGAAAUGAGACGAGUGAAUAAAAAACAAACAAAGACUCCUUUACUUUUGAAAUAAGUAAAGCUCACCUUUCGUGGAGGAGGAACAGGAUUGCCAAGGCCAUGAUCCGAACACAUGGAACUUAGAGACUCGCUACUACGACCAUUACUCAAUCUGGAAGUGCUAACACUGGACGGUGCAGGUGGUGGUGGAUUACGUGGUCUCUGAAGCGUAGAACUAUUGGUCUUGUCCAUUCCUAUAUAAAACAUUGAAUGUAUAAAUGAAUAAGAUGAGAACAAAAA